rnacentral:rRNA from 1 species
UACGAAGGGUGCAAACGUUGCUCGGAAUCAUUGGGCGUAAAGCGCACGUAGGCGGCUUCGCAAGUCGGAUGUGAAAUCCCACGGCUCAACCAUGGACGUGCAUUCGAAACUGCGAAGCUUGAGUAUGGAAGAGGGUCGCGGAAUUCCCGGUAUAGAGGUGAAAUUCGUAGAUAUCGGGAGGAACACCAGUGGCGAAGGCGGCGACCUGGGCCAAUACUGACGCUGAGGUGCGAAAGCGUGGGGAGCAAACAGG